rnacentral:ncRNA from 2 species
CAAGUCGAGGGGCGCUGCAACGGACCCUGGUUCUGUAACGGGCUCAGGUCCGCCACGCUCGGCCGGCACCACUCCGUAAGGGCGCCUCCCUCACA